CAGCGGUAUGUCAACACAGAUGGGAAGGAGCAUGCUGGUGUUCCAGUCCCACUGUAUUCAGAACUAAGUACUCUGGAUACUCCUGCUUCUGCUACCCAAUCUCCGCCACCCUCCUCUGCCUUUUCACUUUCUCAGCUGGAACUUCUCCAGGCAAUUUGAACCGGAAGAUCUGUUCUGUUUUGAUGUAUGCAACAACCCACUUUAAGUAAACAACAACUCCUGUCCAGCCUAUGCUUCCUCCUCCCAUGGUGUGCACUGAGCAUUCAGCUGCGGCUGCAGUAUGAGGAACGUGUCCUACACCCUGGAUGAGUCCCCCACUCUGGAUGUGUCCCCACAUUCUGGGUGAGGGCCUGAAGGUGCUGAACCAAGGCCACUGGCAAGUGUUAUCCAACAGAAGAUGAGAUUACCUUUCUGAGGAUAGAGGAGACCAACGGCAAUGUUGCCAUCCUUCCUCCCCUCCAGGUGGUGAAACUUUGAUCUUCUCUUAGUCGAGCCAGUGCCAGAGGCUCCGCUCCCCACUGUUGGCUCCUUGGAGAGAUGGGGCAAACUCAUGCUGAAGAAGUUACACAGGCACGAAUUGCAGAUAUAAUGCUGGCUGUGAAGUCAGCAAUGUCUCACAUUGCUCUAGAUGUCUCUUUCAGGUACUGGAGAGAAAAUUAC
rnacentral:lncRNA from 1 species